ACUUUAACAUGGUAGUACUUUCU
rnacentral:miRNA from 8 species